rnacentral:rRNA from 1 species
GAUGAACGCUGGCGGCGUGCCUAAUACAUGCGAGUCGAGCGAACAGACGAGGAGCUUGCUUCUCUGACGUUAGCGGCGGACGGGUGAGUAACACGUGGAUAACCUACCUAUAAGACUGGGAUAACUUCGGGAAACCGUAGCUAAUACCGGAUAAUAUAUUGAACCGCAUGGUUCAAUAGUGAAAGACGGUUUUGCUGUCACUUAUAGAUGGAUCCGCGCUGCAUUAGCUAGUUGGUAAGGUAACGGCUUACCAAGGCAACGAUGCGUAGCCGACCUGAGAGGGUGAUCGGCCACACUGGAACUGAGACACGGUCCAGACUCCUACGGGAGGCAGCAGUAGGGAAUCUUCCGCAAUGGGCGAAAGCCUGACGGAGCAACGCCGCGUGAGUGAUGAAGGUCUUCGGAUCGUAAAACUCUGUUAUUAGGGAAGAACAAAUGUGUAAGUAACUGUGCACGUCUUGACGGUACCUAAUCAGAAAGCCACGGCUAACUACGUG